rnacentral:rRNA from 1 species
AUUGAACGCUGGCGGCAGGCCUAACACAUGCAAGUCGAACGGUAACAGGAAACAGCUUGCUGUUUCGCUGACGAGUGGCGGACGGGUGAGUAAUGUCUGGGAAACUGCCUGAUGGAGGGGGAUAACUACUGGAAACGGUAGCUAAUACCGCAUAACGUCGCAAGACCAAAGAGGGGGACCUUCGGGCCUCUUGCCAUCGGAUGUGCCCAGAUGGGAUUAGCUUGGUGGUGGGGUAACGGCUCACCAAGGCGACGAUCCCUAGCUGGUCUGAGAGGAUGACCAGCCACACUGGAACUGAGACACGGUCCAGACUCCUACGGGAGGCAGCAGUGGGGAAUAUUGCACAAUGGGCGCAAGCCUGAUGCAGCCAUGCCGCGUGUAUGAAGAAGGCCUUCGGGUUGUAAAGUACUUUCAGCGGGGAGGAAGGGAGUAAAGUUAAUACCUUUGCUCAUUGACGUUACCCGCAGAAGAAGCACCGGCUAACUCCGUG